UACGGAGGAUCCAAGCGUUAUCCGGAUUCAUUGGGUUUAAAGGGUGCGUAGGCGGAUUUAUAAGUCAGUGGUGAAAGCCUGUUGCUUAACAACAGAACUGCCAUUGAUACUGUAAGUCUUGAGUACAUUUGAUGUAGGCGGAAUGUGUCAUGUAGCGGUGAAAUGCUUAGAUAUGACACAGAACACCGAUUGCGAAGGCAGCUCACAAAACUGUAACUGACGCUGAGGCACGACAGCGUGGGGAGCAAACAGG
rnacentral:rRNA from 1 species